rnacentral:rRNA from 1 species
ACACGUAGGUGGCGAGCGUUGUCCGGAAUUACUGGGUGUAAAGGGCGUGUAGGCGGGAGAGCAAGUCAGAUGUGAAAGCCCAAGGCUCAACUUUGGGACUGCAUCUGAAACUGUUCUUCUUGAGUACUGGAGAGGGAAGCGGAAUUCCUAGUGUAGCGGUGAAAUGCGUAGAGAUUAGGAGGAACACCAGUGGCGAAGGCGGCUUCCUGGACAGAGACUGACGCUGAGGCGCGAAAGCGUGGGGAGCGAACAGGAUUAGAUACCCUGGUAGUCCACGCCGUAAACGAUGGAUACUAGGUGUAGGAGGUAUCGACACCUUCUGUGCCGGAGUUAACACAAUAAGUAUCCCACCUGGGGAGUACGGCCGCAAGGCUGAA